UACAGAGGUCUCAAGCGUUGUUCGGAUUCAUUGGGCGUAAAGGGUGCGUAGGCGGCGUGGUAAGUCGGGUGUGAAAUCUCGGAGCUUAACUCCGAAACUGCAUUCGAUACUGCCGUGCUUGAGGACUGGAGAGGAGACUGGAAUUUACGGUGUAGCGGUGAAAUGCGUAGAUAUCGUAAGGAAGACCAGUGGCGAAGGCGGGUCUCUGGACAGUUCCUGACGCUGAGGCACGAAGGUCAGGGGAGCAAACGGG
rnacentral:rRNA from 1 species